rnacentral:rRNA from 15 species
CGCCAAUUAAAGUGGUACGUGAGUUGGGUUCAGAACGUCGCGAGACAGUUUGGUCCCUAUCUGCCGUGGGCGUCGAUACUUGAAAGGAGUUGCCCCUAGUACGAGAGGACCGGGGUGAACAUACCUCUGGUGUACCUGUCAUCCUGCCAAGGGUGCCGCAGGGUAGCUAUGUAUGGACGGGAUAACCGCUGAAAGCAUCUAAGCGGGAAGCCUCCCUUAAGAUUAGGUAUCUUCGAACCGUCAUAGACCAUGACGUUGAUAGGCCGGGUGUGGAAGCGCAGUAAUGUGUGAAGCUAACCGGUCCUAAUAGUUCUG